rnacentral:rRNA from 1 species
UGGGGAAUAUUGGACAAUGGGCGAAAGCCUGAUCCAGCCAUGCCGCGUGUGUGAAGAAGGCCUUUUGGUUGUAAAGCACUUUAAGCGAGGAGGAGGCUACUUAGAUUAAUACUCUAGGAUAGUGGACGUUACUCGCAGAAUAAGCACCGGCUAACUCUGUGCCAGCAGCCGCGGUAAUACAGAGGGUGCGAGCGUUAAUCGGAUUUACUGGGCGUAAAGCGUGCGUAGGCGGCUUUUUAAGUCGGAUGUGAAAUCCCUGAGCUUAACUUAGGAAUUGCAUUCGAUACUGGGAAGCUAGAGUAUGGGAGAGGAUGGUAGAAUUCCAGGUGUAGCGGUGAAAUGCGUAGAGAUCUGGAGGAAUACCGAUGGCGAAGGCAGCCAUCUGGCCUAAUACUGACGCUGAGGUACGAAAGCAUGGGGAGCAAACAGGAUUAGAUACCCUGGUAGUCCAUGCCGUAAACGAUGUCUACUAGCCGUUGGGGCCUUUGAGGCUUUAGUGGCGCAGCUAACGCGAUAAGUAGACCGCCUGGGGAGUACGGUCGCAAGACUAAAACUCAAAUGAAUUGACGGGGGCCCGCACAAGCGGUGGAGCAUGUGGUUUAAUUCGAUGC